rnacentral:lncRNA from 1 species
CAACUGCCGAGUAGGCUGCAAUAAUGAGAAAACUCAGCUAUUUCUAUUUUUUACAGUUAGCCUACCUUAGAAAUUUCUACUUGGAACCUUUUGAUAAAUAAUGUAAGGAAAACAAAAUCACUUUAGCCCUAACUUCUUUGGGAUGCCGGUUCUAAUUGUGCCAUUUCUUAAAGCAGUAGCAAUGAGAAUUUUUGGACUAAAGAAUCUUAUAUUUCUCACCCUUUGUUGUUGUCUUCUCAAGGUAGGCAUGAAAAGCAGGAUCAAGAGAUGGAAGUCGGUACCAGUCAACUCAUCAUCCAGAACCUUGAUGUGCCAGAUGGUUUUGGUUGGAAGCAGUCUCUCUCAAGGCCAUGGAAUGAUGGAAAUGCUAAUGGUGGAAGACGAAUCCAGUAAUUGUGGUCAAACUCACGAUGAAUAGACAUCAUACAUUCUAACUUCAUGUGGCUUUGAACAUAUAGUACUGGAAGAUGAAUGUGGAUGGAUGUAAUGCACCCACUGGGGCAGAAAAAUAAUCAAGAUGGCACAAGAUUUUGAACUCAGUGACUACACAUACAAUCUCUAAUCUAGAACGUAUAAUUGACAUACAUGCUGAUAAUGGGGCAAUAUCUUAUAUCCCUUCAUAUAAACAAUGUCCCUGGAAAUCUAAAUAAUGUUAUACCAGCUACUCUGAAAUGGAUAGCAAGGCCCUUUCUCUCAUUAUUGUAGAAUACAAGCACAUC